rnacentral:rRNA from 1 species
UAAAAUUUAUAAAAUUAGGUAGUAAAGAAAUUUCUGAAACCUAAAGAAUUUGGCGGUAUUUUAAAUAAUUGGAGGAACCUGUUAUUUAAUUGACAACCCACAACACAUCUUUCCUAAGUUUUAUUUGUAUAUCGUCGCUAUGAUAAUAUUUAAAAAUUAUAAUCAAACCCAAUAAAUUUUUAAUAUCAGAUCAAGGUGCAGUAUUCUUAGGUUAUAAUGGGUUACAAUAUAUUAAUAUAUAAUGGAUAUAAAUUUGAAAUUAUAUUGAAAGUGGAUUCAAAAGUAAUAUUAAAUUAAAAUGUUAAUUUGAUUAAUAAUUUAAAAUAUGC